GCGCUCGCUUCAGUAGCACAUAUACUAAAAUUGUAAUGAUACAGAGAUUAGCAUGGCCCCUUAAAAAAAGUCACCCUAUGGCUUGUUAAAACACACAUUCCU
ensembl:snRNA RNU6-62P RNA, U6 small nuclear 62, pseudogene